CCCACAAUUUCUCCCCCAAUCCCCCAGGUUAAUAAUUGUCUCAUUGAAAAUCAUACAUGUUAAUAUAUUUCGCUGAAUAUUUUCUACUAAUAUCCCAGUAAUAUUAUACAUGAAUACAUAAAAAAAAAUCAGGGUAAUACACUCAUCCAGAAAACAAAAUGCAAUAUUUUUUAAAUAACACAGAUCUAAAAAAAACAAUCACUCAAAAUAAAAAGUAAAUUAAACCACAGAAUGUAACAAAAUAACAAAUAAUUAAACCACAGAAUGUAACAAAAUAACAAAUAAUUAAACCACAGAAUGUAACAAAAUAACAAAUA
rnacentral:lncRNA from 1 species